rnacentral:rRNA from 1 species
GAUGAACGCUGGCGGCGUGCCUAAUACAUGCAAGUCGAGCGAAAAGACGAGGAGCUUGCUCCCCUGACGUUAGCGGCGGACGGGUGAGUAACAAGUGGAUAACAUACCUCUAAGACUGGGAUAAUAUCGGGAAACAGGAGACAAUACCGGAUAAUAUAUUGAACGGGAUGGAUCAAUAGUGAAAGACGGUUUUGCUGUCACUUAUAGAUGGAUUCGCGCCGCAUUAGCUAGUUGGUAAGGUAACGGCUUACCAAGGCGACGAUGCGUAGCCGACCUGAGAGGGUGAUCGGCUACACUGGAACUGAGACACGGUCCAGACUCCUACGGGAGGCAGCAGUAGGGAAUCUUCCACAAUGGGCGAAAGCCUGACGGAGCAACGCCGCGUGGGUGAUGAAGGUCUUCGGAUCGUAAAACUCUGUUAUUAGGGAAGAACAAAUGUGUAAGUAACUAUGCACGUCUUGACGGUACCUAAAGAGAAAGCCACGGCUAACUUCGUG